rnacentral:lncRNA from 1 species
GUGUGCAAGCUCAAAAGUUGGAAAGAUUAUAACUACAUAUGUGUUACUCACUUUUCUAUUGCUAUGAGGAAAUCCCAGGACCAAGACAUCUUACAGAAGAAAGGGUUUACAGUUCCAGAGUGAUGAGCAUUCAUGGUGACAGAGUUGAAGCAUAAAGCAUGACAGCAGGUGACAGGCAAGACUACACAAGGAGGAAACUGAGAGUUCACACUUGACAAAGCAGAGAAUGGGAAUUGGAGUGUAAACUGAAGACCAGAAGCUGACCUUUGGAGACAUCUAGUCCAGCAGAGCAGCUGCUGCAUUCUCAGUAUCUUCAACGUGAGACAACCAUGUCGGAAAACCCAACCCAUAUCACUUUCAGGUUCUGAUGUCGCCAUCUGGCCUAAGGCCCCUGCAUGCACUGGUGCUACUGCGUAUGAACUCACAUAAGCGCACGCAAACACAUAAAAAC